ensembl:rRNA 5S_rRNA 5S ribosomal RNA
GCCAGCAGCCAUAUCACCCUGCAGCUCCCAGCUGGCAGCCCACUGAAGCUCAGCAGGUGUGAGCCUGGCCAGUACCUGGAUGGGAGACCUCCUGGGAAACACCAAGGUUGCUGCUGGAA